UGCAGUCGAGCGGAACGAGUUAUCUGAACCUUCGGGGGACGAUAACGGCGUCGAGCGGCGGACGGGUGAGUAAUGCCUAGGAAAUUGCCCUGAUGUGGGGGAUAACCAUUGGAAACGAUGGCUAAUACCGCAUGAUGCCUACGGGCCAAAGAGGGGGACCUUCGGGCCUCUCGCGUCAGGAUAUGCCUAGGUGGGAUUAGCUAGUUGGUGAGGUAAGGGCUCACCAAGGCGACGAUCCCUAGCUGGUCUGAGAGGAUGAUCAGCCACACUGGAACUGAGACACGGUCCAGACUCCUACGGGAGGCAGCAGUGGGGAAUAUUGCACAAUGGGCGCAAGCCUGAUGCAGCCAUGCCGCGUGUAUGAAGAAGGCCUUCGGGUUGU
rnacentral:rRNA from 1 species